AUCGACAUCUCUCAUUUGAUGGAGUGAGGAAUUAUCUCUCGGACAUAAAAAAGCAAUUCUUCAACAAAAUCCCUUCAUAUGCGGUUUGGAUGAAUUUACCUUCUGAGCCAAAGACUCGAGAAGAUUUUCUACAACAUUUCCGUUAUCUGACUCUGGAUCCCAACACGGCACAUGGUUACCUCCGUCUGUGUGAGGAGGACAGAGCGGUGAGACGCAGUAAGAAAGAGAAGUCGUACCCUCGUCACC